GCGCAUGUAGCUCAGCGGUAGAGCGUCCGCCCGACACGCGGAAGGCCGGUGGUCCGAAUCCACCCACGCGCA
rnacentral:tRNA from 1 species